AAUCCAUAGGUUAAUGAGGCGAACCGGGGGAACUGAAACAUCUAAGUACCCCGAGGAAAAGAAAUCAACCGAGAUUCCCCCAGUAGCGGCGAGCGAACGGGGAGGAGCCCAGAGCCUGAAUCAGCAUGUGUGUUAGUGGAAGCGUCUGGAAAGGCGCGCGAUACAGGGUGACAGCCCCGUACACAAAAGCGCAUGUGCUGUGAGCUCGAUGAGUAGGGCGGGACACGUGGUAUCCUGUCUGAAUAUGGGGGGACCAUCCUCCAAGGCUAAAUACUCCUGACUGACCGAUAGUGAACCAGUACCGUGAGGGAAAGGCGAAAAGAACCCCGGCGAGGGGAGUGAAAAAGAACCUGAAACCGUGUACGUACAAGCAGUGGGAGCACAGGUUUACCUGUGUGACUGCGUACCUUUUGUAUAAUGGGUCAGCGACUUAUAUUCUGUAGCAAGGUUAACCGAAUAGGGGAGCCGGAGGGAAACCGAGUCUUAAUUGGGCGUUAAGUUGCAGGGUAUAGACCCGAAACCCGGUGAUCUAGCCAUGGGCAGGUUGAAGGUUGGGUAACACUAACUGGAGGACCGAACCGACUAAUGUUGAAAAAUUAGCGGAUGACCUGUGGCUGGGGGUGAAAGGCCAAUCAAACCGGGAGAUAGCUGGUUCUCCCCGAAAGCUAUUUAGGUAGCGCCUCGUGAAUUCAUCUCCGGGGGUAGAGCACUGUUUCGGCUAGGGGGCCAUCCCGGCUUACCAACCCGAUGCAAACUGCGAAUACCGGAGAAUGUUAUCACGGGAGACACACGGCGGGUGCUAACGUCCGUCGUGAAGAGGGAAACAACCCAGACCGCCAGCUAAGGUCCCAAAGUCAUGGUUAAGUGGGAAACGAUGUGGGAAGGCCCAGACAGCCAGGAUGUUGGCUUAGAAGCAGCCAUCAUUUAAAGAAAGCGUAAUAGCUCACUGGUCGAGUCGGCCUGCGCGGAAGAUGUAACGGGGCUAAACCAUGCACCGAAGCUGCGGCAGCGACGCUUAUGCGUUGUUGGGUAGGGGAGCGUUCUGUAAGCCUGCGAAGGUGGCCUGUGAGGGUUGCUGGAGGUAUCAGAAGUGCGAAUGCUGACAUAAGUAACGAUAAAGCGGGUGAAAAGCCCGCUCGCCGGAAGACCAAGGGUUCCUGUCCAACGUUAAUCGGGGCAGGGUGAGUCGACCCCUAAGGCGAGGCCGAAAGGCGUAGUCGAUGGGAAACGGGUUAAUAUUCCCGUACUUGGUGUUACUGCGAAGGGGGGACGGAGAAGGCUAUGUUGGCCGGGCGACGGUUGUCCCGGUUUAAGCGUGUAGGUGUGUGUUCCAGGUAAAUCCGGUU
rnacentral:rRNA from 1 species